UUCACUUUGUUGAAUCAAAGACCGUUGUCCCUUCCAAGAGUCUCUGUGAGGAUACACGGCCAGCCUGUACAGCCUACAAAAAGGUAGAAAGUGUGUGUGAGCUGAUGUGGAUGUGAAUUCAGCAGCAUGAAUCUCUGUGAGGACAGAGAGGAGGGAACCCUUCACUCUAAAACCAAUCUCUGUGGGGACCAUGAGACCCAGAACAAAACCCAGAGCCCAGAGCAACAGCAGCAGAGACCAGACUGUGCUGGACCUGAACCAGAACCCAGCUGUGUGUCUUUAAAAAGUGACAUGUCAAAUCAUCAUUUCAUUGACUUUAAAGACCAUCAACCAUCUGAUGUAGUAAGGUAAAUUGUAAAAAAAUAUUAGUGACAGAAAAAGUCAGAGUUGUAAAAAAAUGUAUUAUUGUAAUUAUUUGAAGGUGGACUGUUACAAAAACAGGUAGGUAAAGUGUAGUUUCUUCUCAGUCUAACAUUCACUGAUUUUGUGUUAAUGUAACAAACUGUAACGAUGAGAACAACUUAUCUUCGAUGAACGAUGGAUUAUUUCUCCACUCAGUGACAUUGUUUACAUACAUGAGGAAUGAUGGGAAUUAGUGUAGCAUUAUUGUUGAUAGAGACCAAAUUUAUUGUCCUGUUUUCAGAAUCAGAAUCAGAUAGGCUUUAUUGCCAUGUCCUGUAGAGUGCACUUUACAGAACUAGGAACUUGUCUUGGUGUUGGCACACCCAGGCAGCCGUCUAUGGCACCAAUCCCAUCUGACAGUGGAAGCAAGAUGCAGUAGUGGGGUGUAUCUGCAUCAGUAUAGUAAAGUGUUGUUUAUAGAAAUAUGACAGAGGCCGACCAAGAUGCUUACAUGCCAGUCCAACGGUUGUCCUUGGGUGUGGUGGAAAU